rnacentral:rRNA from 1 species
GCGGCGGACGGGUGAGUAACACGUGGGCAACCUACCUUGUAGAUUGGGAUAACUCCGGGAAACCGGGGCUAAUACCGAAUAAUCCAUUUUGCUUCAUGGCAAGAUGUUGAAAGGCGGCUUCGGCUGUCACUACGAGAUGGGCCCGCGGCGUAUUAGCUUGUUGGUGGGGUAGUGGCCUACCAAGGCGACGACGGGUAGCCGGCCUGAGAGGGUGACCGGCCACACUGGGACUGAGACACGGCCCAGACUCCUACGGGAGGCAGCAGUGGGGAAUAUUGGACAAUGGGGGGAACCCUGAUCCAGCCAUGCCGCGUGUGUGAAGAAGGCCUUAUGGUUGUAAAGCACUUUAAGCGAGGAGGAGGCUCUUUUGGUUAAUACCCAAGAUGAGUGGACGUUACUCGCAGAAUAAGCACCGGCUAACUCUGUGCCAGCAGCCGCGGUAAUACAGAGGGUGCGAGCGUUGUCCGGAAUUAUUGGGCGUAAAGAGCUCGUAGGCGGUUUGUCGCGUCGGCUGUGAAAUCUGGAGGCUUAACCUUCAGCGUGCAGUCGAUACGGGCAGACUUGAGUUCGGCAGGGGAGACUGGAAUUCCUGGUGUAGCGGUGAAAUGCGCAGAUAUCAGGAGGAACACCGGUGGCGAAGGCGGG